CAGUCGCCGCGGUAAUACGAAGGGGGCUAGCGUUGCUCGGAAUGACUGGGCGUAAAGGGCGCGUAGGCGGCGAUCAAAGUCAGGCGUGAAAUUCCUGGGCUCAACCUGGGGGCUGCGCUUGAUACUUGGUUGCUUGAGUGGGGAAGAGGGUCGUGGAAUUCCCAGUGUAGAGGUGAAAUUCGUAGAUAUUGGGAAGAACACCGGUGGCGAAGGCGGUGACCUGUCCUUGACUGACGCUGAGGCGCGAAAGCGUGGGGAGCAAACAGGAUUAGAUACCCGUGUAGUCCCUGUCUCUUAUACC
rnacentral:rRNA from 1 species